rnacentral:rRNA from 1 species
UACGUAGGGCGCAAGCGUUGUCCGGAAUUAUUGGGCGUAAAGAGCUCGUAGGCGGUUUGUCGCGUCUGCUGUGAAAACCUAAGGCUCAACCUUGGGCUUGCAGUGGGUACGGGCAGACUAGAGUGCGGUAGGGGUGACUGGAAUUCCUGGUGUAGCGGUGGAAUGCGCAGAUAUCAGGAGGAACACCGAUGGCGAAGGCAGGUCACUGGGCCGAUACUGACGCUGAGGGAGCGAAAAGCCGUGGGGGAGCGAACAGG